rnacentral:rRNA from 1 species
AUACGUAGGGUGCGAGCGUUGUCCGGAAUUACUGGGCGUAAAGAGCUCGUAGGUGGUUUGUCGCGUCGUCUGUGAAAUUCCGGGGCUUAACUCCGGGCGUGCAGGCGAUACGGGCAUAACUUGAGUACUGUAGGGGAGACUGGAAUUCCUGGUGUAGCGGUGAAAUGCGCAGAUAUCAGGAGGAACACCGGUGGCGAAGGCGGGUCUUUGGGCAGUAACUGACGCUGAGGAGCGAAAGCAUGGGUAGCGAACAGGAUUAGAUACCCUGGUAGUCCAUGCCGUAAACGGUGGGCGCUAGGUGUAGGGGUCUUCCACGACUUCUGUGCCGUAGCUAACGCAUUAAGCGCCCCGCCUGGGGAGUACGGCCGCAAGGCUAAAACUCAAAUGAAUUGACGGGG